rnacentral:lncRNA from 1 species
AUGAGCAAGAACAGCCCGUGCAUCAGAGGCGCCGUGAACCCAUCAGCCAGGCGUUGGUCCACAGGAAGACAGAGCCCACGACGAGGGGACCCCGGCUUGCGCUGGUGUUGGGGCGCUCCCUCCUCAGCCCUACCUCCCCCACCCCCGCCCAGGGGGAGCAAUCAGCCCCUGGAGCCGCAGCUCGGCCGCUUGACAUUUGAUGGCAGUCAUUAUCAGACACUUGUUCCCAAUCAGGCCUCGAGUGUCGCUGAGGGCCCCUCUGCUGCCUCCUCAUUCCAGGGAGCAUUAAUGGAAAGAGGGGAGGCGGGGAACCCACCUAGGUCUGGGCAAAGGUCUUUGUGACUCACUCCUCUGACUCCAGCCCCCUCUCUCCUCCAGAGCUCCUCGGGACUGAGCUACAAGCUGGAGAACAGAGAGGGCUGGGGUGGGAGUGCCCCAGGGGCAGGAGGCUCAGCGCCCACAUCCUUGGUUAAGCCAGGGCGUGGGGAGGCUGGUACGGAGGCACGCGGGAAGCCUGGCUCAGAGCUUGACUCCUGCUGGACCUGAGAAGCACUUUGUCUCGCAGCUCAUGAGUCUGGGGGUCCUGAGCCCCCUGGGCAGUCGGCUUCUCCCUCUCUGCAGCUGGGCUCAGGGCACCGCCAGGUCCCUCUCUGCAGAGGCCGCUUGAGGAACCUGGAUACGUGCUGGCUGCCUUUGUCCGCAGGCGGACAAGCUCAGGUGAGCAGGUGCACACACGGUGGUAGAGGUGUGUGUGUGUGUGUGUGUGUGCACAGGGUCUGGCUUCUUGCCGCAGCUGGCCAGGACCAACAUUUCCUGGCUUAGAGUCAUCCGUGGGAUUCACCGUUUACGUCUCUAGUCAGUGACUCAACCAUGCCAAAUACUUCACAGCCUGAAAGCAGAGCCAGUUAUGUGCUUACAAAGCAGAGGGUGUAGACAGCCCGGUUCUGGUGUGAUGGUCCUGCACACACACACAUCUGCUUUCACAAGGAACUCAACCAACCACAUAUGAAAUACAGAGGAGGAGAGCAGUGGAAGAGUGAAGGGUCCUCAGAAAGAUCAACCCAGGAGUCUUCCUGGAGAAGGUGGCAAAGUCUGAACUGGAUGUUUUUAAAAGAUUUAUUUAUUUACUUGAAAGUCAGAGUUACACAUAGAGAAGAAGAGGCAGAGAGAGAGAGAGAGAGGUCUUCCAUCCGCUGGUUCACUCCACAAUUGGCCGCAACGGCCAGAGCUGUGCCGAUCCGAAGCUAGGAGCCAGGAGCUUCUUCCAGAUCUCCCACAUGCGUGCAGGGGCCCAAGGACUUGGGCCAUCUUCUACUGCUUUCCCAGGCCACAGCAGAGAGCU